GUGCAACCAAUUACCUUCAGAAGUCACAUAAUUAGUUAGAUUGCACACAGGUGGACUUUAUUUAUGCGUCACAUGAUCUGUCACAUGAUCUCAGUAUAUAUACACCUGUUCUGAAAGGCCCCAGAGUCUGCAACACCACUGAGCAAGGGGCACCACCAAGAAAGCGGCACCAUGAAGACCAAGGAGCUCUCCAAACAGGUCAGGGACAAAGUUGUGGAGAAGUACAGAUCAGGGUUGGGUUAUAAAAAAAUAUCAGAAACUUUGAACAUCCCACGGAGCACCAUUAAAUCCUUUAUUAAAAAAGGGAAAGAAUAUGGCACCAUCAAGUAAGACGCUAUGUCUGGGGCAAACCCAACACCUCUCAUCACCCCGAGAACCCCAUCCCCACAGUGAAGCAUGGUGGUGGCAGCAUCAUGUUGUGGGGAUGUUUUUCUUCGGCAGGGACUGGGAAACUGGUCAGAGUUGAAGGAAUGAUGGAUGGCGCGAAAUGCAGGGAAAUUCUUGAUGGAAACCUGUUUCAGUCUUCCAGAAAUUUGAGACUGGGACAGUAUGCUUAGGCAUACUGCUAAAGCAACACUUGAGUGGUUUAAGGGGAAACAUGUAAAUCCCAGACCUCAAUCCAAUUGAGAAUCUGUGGUAUGAUUUAGAUUGCUGUACACCAGUGGAAACCAUCCAACUUGAAGGAGCUGGAGCAGUUUUGCCUUGAAGAAUGGGCAAAAAUCCCAGUGGAUAGAUGUGCCAAGCUUAUAAAGAAAUACCCCAAGAGACUUGCCGCUGUAAAUGCUACAAAAGGUGGCUCUACAAAAUAUUGACUUUGGGAGGGUGAAUAGUUAUGCAUGCUCAAGUUUUCAGUUUUUUUGUCUUAUUUCUUGUUUGUUUCACAAUAAAAAAUAUUUUGCAUCUUCAAAGUGGUAGCCAUGUUGUGUAAAUCAAAUGAUACAACCCCCCCAAAAAUCUAUUUUAAUUCCAGGUUGUAAGGCAACAAAAUAGGAAAAAUGCCAAGGGGGUGAAUACUUUCGUAAGCCACUGUACAAACUCCAGUGAUCAUCAUAACCGCGGCUAUGGCGAUCAUUGAACCUACAUACUGUGCAUUCGGAAAGUAUUCAGACCCCUUGACUUAUUACAUUUUAUGGAACAAACUUUAUCUCCAAAGAGAAUUGGAACAAGCUGAAACGAUGGAUUGUAUUUACAUAAAAUAUUACUUUGUUUUGAUAUUAUUCAGUAGGUUUAACCAAAGGUUAAUUAAAAGCAUGUUGCGAGUUCAAAGAAAUAGGUUGUGACUUCAAAUAUAGGUUUGUUAGUAAUCAAAUAUAACAGUUGGCAUUGAAUCAUUUACCGUGCAUUCGGAAAG
rnacentral:lncRNA from 1 species